rnacentral:tRNA from 1 species
GCUCAGUUGGUGGAGCACAAGGCUCUUAACCUUAUGGACGUGGGUUCGAGCCCCAC